GGACAAGGGCCGGCUUGUUCUAGGGACUGUAUUCUAACAUAGCUCAGCUCUCUGGCGUUUUGUUUGUACUGAUUAUUGGGUCGGGAUUUUGUUUAAUUGUGGUUUCUCUAUAUUUUGUUUGUUUGUUGGGGGGAUUUUUAAUGUUUUCUUAGGGUUUUUUUUAGGUUUUUUUUUUUGGGGUUAUUAUUGUUGUGGGGUUUUUUUUGUUUGUUUGUUUUUGUUUGUUUUUUUUCCCCCCUUUUCUUUAAAAUGGAAAGAAAAUAUUCGGAGAUUGUGGGACACAAUAUUUUAGCAGGCAGGACCAGCUUACAGUUCUCCACAAGUACCUCCUGGCUACAAACCAGGAGGGAUGUAGCCACCAACCCCCCUUGCAGGCUGUGUCUGAGCCUUCAUAACAUUACCAGUUACCUCGUGCUGUCUUUUCAGCUUUAAACAAAGUGUUCUUUUACACAGAUGUUCACUGACUGGACCUUUAACUAAGGCCAGAUAUAUUUUUAAAGGUCACUGAAGAGUCACCAUCACUCUAUACUAUUGCAACGUUGGAGCUGUUAUCCAGCUCUGUUGUCUCUGCCUGGUAGUGAACCAUUUGGUCAUUUUCUUGUGUUUUUUUCUUGUGUUGUGUGUUUGUGUUUAAUGCUCAAGUUGAAAAAACUCCCACAAAGAUCCCAUGCAAACCCAGAUAACGAAUCAAAGCUACUUAUUUGUAGCAAUGGGUCGCAAACACAUCUUUGUUUCUAUAGGUAAAAGCAUCUUCUACAAUGUGCUUUUGAUAAGUUCCUGCAGUGAUUUUUGCAAGUAAUGCCACAAAGGUCUCUUAAAUUCUCCCAGUGUAUUGUUGACAUACACCAAUUUGGAAAUAACUGUCUGAAUCCUGGUCCUCUCGAUUGCUUGGUCAUGGCACAGAAUAUUUUCUACCAGCUAUCCAGCUUGCAGGAAUAUUUCAGUUUGACACAGAAAACUUAGUGAAUGAACUAAUUGAAUGGUAUGCUAGAAUAUAUGAAAAAUAAAGGGUACUUCUACAAAAAAUGUGGAAGCAUAAAUAGCCCUAACUAUACUCGGGAAGAUACAGGUUCUACCUAGUAAUGAGUCCUGGUCCCUAGGAAGAGAGAGGUGGAGAAGUGUUUUGAAAGGUUUUUGAAAGAGGCACCUUUGUUCUGCACUGGGCAUCCUUUGUGCAACCACCACCAAUCAGCCAAGGAAGCUGUGGGUUGGACAUGUGAAACAUGAGGGCAGGGACAUGUUCCCACUCCAUCGCUUGCAAAGACAAGCCAAUCCCUAGUUUAAUUAUGAAUUACAGGGACUCAUCAUUAGCUCUGGAAAUGGUCUCCUGCCUUCAUUUUUAUGCCCCAUCCAAUAUUUGGGUAGUAUUGGCUGGAUGGUCUCCAUCUGCGGCCUACACAGGUACCAAGGACUGUCAAGGCAUCCAUGCUUCUGCUGCUUCAAGUCUUGAGUGGAUUUAUAACUGCAGGAACAAUUCAGAAGUUUUAAGACUUGCUGUUUUGACUACAUUUGAUUUUUCAGCAUAAACACCACUAAGGACUUUUCAAAGCAAACUGAUGCGUUUGCUUUUGUAAUUUCAGCAUUUGCUGUCAAAACAACCCUCUUGUUGUCUCUCUUGUUCCUGUGGUAUGUGGGCCUGUGUGGCUGGCUUUUGGCUCUGUAGUUCAGAACCAUCUGUAGCACUGAUCAAAAGGAUGAAGGCAAUCCAGCCACUUUAAAAAAGAAAACCAAACUCCAAAGAAACAAGUGAUUUAGUAAUUUCUGACUGAUUUUUUCCUUUUGUCUCAGGAUUCAGGCUGUAACAAUUGGGCAUGAGGGCUCUGUAUGUUUCUGCUGGUUCCAAGUAAAUAGCUCUGUUGUGUGGGAGCAGUGAUGGACCUAUACUGUGCUAUUUGAUUAAGCAAUAAGAUGCAUUAAAAGGCUGAGGUGGCAUUGGAUUUACUGUGAAAAGAGAUGGUGCUAAAGGAGCCCAAACUGCCUUUUUCAGAUCCCAGCAUAAAAAUAUGUUCCUUUCCAAUAUGGAAAACAAAAUCAAGAAAACUUGUGAAUUGAAAUCAAGGCAAUUAAUAAGUGGAGGAACAAGAUAAAAAACCCACAGGUGAUGCUUCGUGGGACUGAGCUUUCGAAUGCAGAGCUUGGAAGGAUGAAAUAUAGCACUAACCUUUAAGGCUUCUCCAGAAACUCCAAACAUGGCACUGAUCAAAUGUCAAGAGCACUGCUCUGAGGUAUUUUAUCUCAGUUACAUUAAUUGAAAACCCAAGCACUUUGCUACAUGUGCUACAAUCGAUGAUGUAUCACUGGAUUAAAUCAUUAUGUAAUGAUUAUUGCUUAUGCAUUAUUCUCCAGUUUUUCCAUAUGCAUACUUUUGAAUGACAUUUAUUUGAAAAUAUAAUGAGGGAUAUGUGCAUGCCGGUAGUAUAUGGCUUUGGACUCAGCCUUUUCAGUGUGCAUGAACAGAAAAAUAGCAAAAUUUGAUUUAAAAGCAUUCUGAAACAUUUAUCUUCUGAGAUUUAUAAAUCAGGGGCCACACUCAGGCCCCUACUUCAAGAAGCCCUCAAGACCAGGGUCAGAAGCCAAACUUCUUUGGUACUGAGCUAUACUGGGCUUUGUAAGGUCAGGGAAGAGAUUGUAUGACACUUCUACUCCAGGAAAAUGACCUUGAUCAGAAGGUGUCUGAUUUCCUGAAUGUUUACAGCAAGUAUGAAUACAUAAUCAAGUUACCAGCCCCUGUAUGGCCCUAGACUAGCAGAUCAUGUGUGCAUAUGGUGAUCUUAAGCCUGUGCAAUUCUUUUGGCUUUAAGAGGCUACCUAGGUGUAUGAAGUAAAACAGUCCUGUGUUUGUAGUCUUCAUGGGAGUUUUGCAAAACUUUGUUCCAAAACUGGCUUAAUGCAAGUGAGUCCUUGAGCCCUCAUGGAAAUUGGAUCUUGAGCUGCUUCUGCGUGUACACACUUUCAUACAACUUUUGCUGCUGCUGUAGGUAAAAGCUCUGCUCAUGCUAGGGGACAGAUUUCACCUGGGACCAUGGCAGGGAUUGAAGAAAGUGUUCAUAAUCAUCUUCAAAGUAACAUCAGUUGAAAAUGAAGCAUUUUCUAAAUGGGUUUGCUGUUGAAAACUCUGCAAAACUGUAUUUUGCACAACUACAGCACCCAGUGGUCAACCAGGCUGCCAUGAGCUGUCAUGAUGUAAUUGCCACCCCACUCUUUUGGUCUCAUAAUUGGAUUUUGCAGCUACAACAGCUCAAACAGCUACAUCCAGUGGCUCAAACUACAAGACUGUAUCCUUUCUGCAGCAUUGAAGGUCUGGGUGAUCUACUUAGGACCAAAAGGCUUUGUCAGAAGUGAGCUGGGUUUACACUCAUCAUAAAAGAUUUCCCAAGAGAGCUACAAAAUCAACUGAUUUUCACUGCAUGUGCUUUUAUGGACAUCCUGAUAGUCCUUUAAAGCUCAUCUGUUCAAUAUUAACAAUUGUGUGUAAAUAACUUGAUGGUAAAAUUGCUACAGCACGGUUUUCAAGGAAGGUGUCCAGCUGACAGGUCAGCAGAGGAAAGGAAAUUUGGACAAAGUUCCCUAUUGCCUUGACAUCAACAAAAAAUUCAUGUAUUCAACCUGUAACAACACCAGCUCCUCUCAGAUGGGUUGCUUCUCUCAGGAGCACAGAGACAAAGAAAGUAAAUAUUCUUAUUACACAGAAGAAACACAGCAGGCAGAAGUGUGUGUGUCUCUAAAUACACGUCUGUGCAUGUGAAUACAUUGCAUUGGUACAAAAGGGUAUAAUCCAUAUGUAAAUGUAACAGACUUG